AUGAACGCUGGCGGCGUGCCUCAUCCCUGCCAGUCGAGCGAACAGACGAGAGUGCUUGCACUCUCUGACGUUAGCGGCGGACGGGUGAGUAACACGUGGGUAACCUACCUAUAAGACUGGGAUAACUUCGGGAAACCGGAGCUAAUACCGGAUAAUAUUUAGCUUCGCAUGAAGCAAUAGUGAAAGACGGUUCUGCUGUCACUUAUAGAUGGACCCGCGGUGUAUUAGCUAGUUGGUGAGGUAACGGCUCACCAAGGCAACGAUACAUAGCCGACCUGAGAGGGUGAUCGGCCACACUGGGACUGAGACACGGCCCAGACUCCUACGGGAGGCAGCAGUAGGGAAUCUUCCGCAAUGGACGAAAGUCUGACGGAGCAAUGCCGCGUGAGUGAAGAAGGUUUUCGGAUCGUAAAACUCUGUUGUAAGGGAAGAACAAGUACGUUAGUAACUGAACGUACCUUGACGGUACCUUACCAGAAAGCCACGGCUAACUACGUG
rnacentral:rRNA from 1 species